rnacentral:miRNA from 1 species
CCUGUAUCUGAUUUUCAG